UAAGGAAUAUUGCUCAAUGGGAGAAAUCCUGAAGCAGCAACGCCGCGUGGAGGAUGAAGGGUCUAUGACUUGUAAACUCCUGUAAAGAAGGAAAAAAUUCCCAUUAGAUGGGAGAUGAUGGUACUUCUGGAGUAAGCCCCGGCUAACUACGUGCCAGCAGCCGCGGUAAUCCGUAGGGGGCAAGCGUUGUCCGGAUUUACUGGGUGUAAAGGGUGCUCAGGCGGAUUUGUAAGUCAGAGGUGAAAUCUUACAGCUUAACUGUGAAACUGCCUUUGAUACUGCAAGCCUAGAGUAUGGAAGAGAGUGAUGGAGUAUCUGGUGUCGCAGUAAAAUGCGUAGAUAUCAGAUAGAACACCAAUGGCGAAGGCAGUCAAUUGGUCCAUUACUGACGCUAAAGCACGAAAGCGUGGGUAGCAAACA
rnacentral:rRNA from 1 species